rfam:Pristionchus pacificus strain PS312 contig6867, whole genome shotgun sequence.
GGUCUUGUGGUGUAGUGGUUAUCAUGUCUGCUUUACACGCAGAAGGUCGUCGGUUCGAACCCGGCCAAGACCU